AUACGUAGGGGGCGAGCGUUGUCCGGAAUGAUUGGGCGUAAAGGGCGCGUAGGCGGCGCGGUAAGUCUGGAGUGAAAGUCCUGCUUUCAAGGUGGGAAUUGCUUUGGAUACUGCCGCGCUUGAGUGCAGGAGAGGUUAUCGGAAUUCCCGGUGUAGCGGUGAAAUGCGUAGAGAUCGGGAGGAACACCAGUGGCGAAGGCGGGUAACUGGACUGCAACUGACGCUGAGGCGCGAAAGUGUGGGGAGCAAACAGGAUUAGAUACCCUGGUAGUCCACGCCGUAAACGAUGAGUGCUAAGUGUUGGAGGGUUUCCGCCCUUCAGUGCUGCAGCUAACGCAUUAAGCACUCCGCCUGGGGAGUACGACCGCAAGGUUGAAACUUAAAGGAAUUGACGGGG
rnacentral:rRNA from 1 species